rnacentral:rRNA from 1 species
ACGAACGCUGGCGGCAUGCCUCACACAUGCAAGUCGCACGAGACCUUCGGGUCUAGUGGCGCACGGGUGCGUAACGCGUGGGAAUCUGCCCUUGGGUUCGGAAUAACAGUGAGAAAUUACUGCUAAUACCGGAUGAUGUCUUCGGACCAAAGAUUUAUCGCCCAGGGAUGAGCCCGCGUAGGAUUAGCUAGUUGGUGGGGUAAUGGCCUACCAAGGCGACGAUCCUUAGCUGGUCUGAGAGGAUGAUCAGCCACACUGGGACUGAGACACGGCCCAGACUCCUACGGGAGGCAGCAGUGGGGAAUAUUGGACAAUGGGCGCAAGCCUGAUCCAGCAAUGCCGCGUGAGUGAUGAAGGCCUUAGGGUUGUAAAGCUCUUUUACCCGGGAUGAUAAUGACAGUACCGGGAGAAUAAGCUCCGGCUAACUCCGUG